UGGGGAAUUUUGGACAAUGGGCGAAAGCCUGAUCCAGCAAUGCCGCGUGUGUGAAGAAGGCCUUCGGGUUGUAAAGCACUUUUGUCCGGAAAGAAAUCCUUGGCUCUAAUACAGUCGGGGGAUGACGGUACCGGAAGAAUAAACACCGGCUAACUACGUGCCAGCAGCCGCGGUAAUACGUAGGGUGCAAGCGUUAAUCGGAAUUACUGGGCGUAAAGCGUGCGCAGGCGGUUUGCUAAGACCGAUGUGAAAUCCCCGGGCUCAACCUGGGAACUGCAUUGGUGACUGGCAGGCUAGAGUAUGGCAGAGGGGGGUAGAAUUCCACGUGUAGCAGUGAAAUGCGUAGAGAUGUGGAGGAAUACCGAUGGCGAAGGCAGCCCCCUGGGCCAAUACUGACGCUCAUGCACGAAAGCGUGGGGAGCAAACAGGAUUAGAUACCCUGGUAGUCCACGCCCUAAAACGAUGUCAACUAGUUGUUGGGGAUUCAUUUCCUUAGUAACGUAGCUAACGCGUGAAGUUGACCGCCUGGGGAGUACGGUCGCAAGAUUAAAACUUAAAUGAAUUGACGGGGUCAUAGCUGUUUCCU
rnacentral:rRNA from 1 species